GGUUUUGUAGUGUAGCGGUUAUCACUCCGGAUUCUGACUUUCCUCUAUCAGAGUUUUCCGGCAACCCCGGUUCGAUUCCGGGCAAGACCU